UCAAGUGAAGAAGCGCAUACGGUGGAUGCCUUGGCAGUCAGAGGCGAUGAAAGACGUGGUAGCCUGCGAUAAGCUUCGGGGAGUCGGCAAACAGACUUUGAUCCGGAGAUCUCUGAAUGGGGGAACCCACCCAGCAUAAGCUGGGUAUCAUGCACUGAAUACAUAGGUGUAUGAGGCGAACCAGGGGAACUGAAACAUCUAAGUACCCUGAGGAAAAGAAAUCAACCGAGAUUCCCUUAGUAGUGGCGAGCGAACGGGGAUUAGCCCUUAAGCUUCUUUGAUUUUAGCGGAACGCUCUGGAAAGUGCGGCCAUAGUGGGUGAUAGCCCUGUACGCGAAAAGGUCUUAGAAGUGAAAUCGAGUAGGACGGAGCACGAGAAACUUUGUCUGAAUAUGGGGGGACCAUCCUCCAAGGCUAAAUACUACUGACUGACCGAUAGUGAACCAGUACCGUGAGGGAAAGGCGAAAAGAACCCCGGAGAGGGGAGUGAAAUAGAACCUGAAACCGUAUGCGUACAAGCAGUGGGAGCCCACUUUGUUGGGUGACUGCGUACCUUUUGUAUAAUGGGUCAGCGACUUAUAUUCAGUGGCGAGCUUAACCGAAUAGGGGAGGCGUAGCGAAAGCGAGUCUUAAUAGGGCGUUUAGUCGCUGGGUAUAGACCCGAAACCGGGCGAUCUAUCCAUGGGCAGGUUGAAGGUUAGGUAACACUGACUGGAGGACCGAACCGACUACCGUUGAAAAGUUAGCGGAUGACCUGUGGAUCGGAGUGAAAGGCUAAUCAAGCUCGGAGAUAGCUGGUUCUCCUCGAAAGCUAUUUAGGUAGCGCCUCGUGUAUCACUGCUGGGGGUAGAGCACUGUUUCGGCUAGGGGGUCAUCCCGACUUACCAAACCGAUGCAAACUCCGAAUACCAGCAAGUGUCAGCACGGGAGACACACGGCGGGUGCUAACGUCCGUCGUGAAAAGGGAAACAACCCAGACCGUCAGCUAAGGUCCCAAAGUUAUGGUUAAGUGGGAAACGAUGUGGGAAGGCUUAGACAGCUAGGAGGUUGGCUUAGAAGCAGCCACCCUUUAAAGAAAGCGUAAUAGCUCACUAGUCGAGUCGGCCUGCGCGGAAGAUGUAACGGGGCUCAAACCAUACACCGAAGCUACGGGUUCAACGUAAGUUGAGCGGUAGAGGAGCGUUCUGUAAGCCUGUGAAGGUGAGUUGAGAAGCUUGCUGGAGGUAUCAGAAGUGCGAAUGCUGACAUGAGUAACGACAAUGGGAGUGAAAAACUCCCACGCCGAAAGACCAAGGUUUCCUGCGCAACGUUAAUCGACGCAGGGUGAGUCGGCCCCUAAGGCGAGGCAGAAAUGCGUAGUCGAUGGGAAACGGGUUAAUAUUCCCGUACUUCUAAUUACUGCGAUGGAGGGACGGAGAAGGCUAGGCCAGCACGGCGUUGGUUGUCCGUGUUUAAGGUGGUAGGCUGAUUUCUUAGGUAAAUCCGGGAAAUCAAGGCCGAGAACUGAUGACGAGUUAUCUUUUAGAUGACGAAGUGGUUGAUGCCAUGCUUCCAGGAAAAGCUUCUAAGCUUCAGGUAAUUAGGAACCGUACCCCAAACCGACACAGGUGGUUAGGUAGAGAAUACCAAGGCGCUUGAGAGAACUCGGGUGAAGGAACUAGGCAAAAUGGCACCGUAACUUCGGGAGAAGGUGCGCCGGUGAGGGUGAAGUAUUUACUACGUAAGCCCAUGCCGGUCGAAGAUACCAGGCCGCUGCGACUGUUUAUUAAAAACACAGCACUCUGCAAACACGAAAGUGGACGUAUAGGGUGUGACGCCUGCCCGGUGCCGGAAGGUUAAUUGAUGGGGUUAGCUAACGCGAAGCUCUUGAUCGAAGCCCCGGUAAACGGCGGCCGUAACUAUAACGGUCCUAAGGUAGCGAAAUUCCUUGUCGGGUAAGUUCCGACCUGCACGAAUGGCGUAACGAUGGCGGCGCUGUCUCCAC
rnacentral:rRNA from 1 species